CCUACGGGAGUCAGCAGUGGGGAAUAUUGGACAAUGGGGGGAACCCUGAUCCAGCGACGCCGCGUGAGUGAAGAAGUAUUUCGGUAUGUACAGCUCUAUCAGCAGGGAAGAAAGAAAUGACGGUACCUGAAUAAGAAGCACAGGCUAAAUAAGUGCCAGCAGCCGCGGUAAUACGUAGGGGGCAAGCGUUAUCCGGAUUUACUGGGUGUAAAGGGAGCGUAGACGGCGAGGCGAGUCUGAAGUGAAAGGCGGGGGACCAACCCCCGGACUGCGUUGGAAACUGUAUGGCUGGAGUGCAGGAGAGGUAAGUGGAAUUCCUGGUGUAGCGGUGAAAUGCGUAGAUAUUAGGAGGAACACCAGUGGCGAAGGCGGCUUACUGGACUGUAACUGACGUUGAGGCUCGAAAGCGUGGAGAGCAAACAGGAUUAGAUACCCGAGUAGUC
rnacentral:rRNA from 1 species